CUUGACCGACCCCAACCACAACGGCCGAUCCUUCUCCCGGCCCUGCCCGUACGUGGCGAUCAGGGCCUGUGCCUC
rnacentral:antisense_RNA from 1 species